UGGGGAAUUUUGGACAAUGGGGGCAACCCUGAUCCAGCAAUGCCGCGUGUGUGAAGAAGGCCUUCGGGUUGUAAAGCACUUUUGUCCGGGAAGAAAUCCCCUGCCCUAAUACGGCGGGGGGAUGACGGUACCGGAAGAAUAAGCACCGGCUAACUACGUGCCAGCAGCCGCGGUAAUACGUAGGGUGCGAGCGUUAAUCGGAAUUACUGGGCGUAAAGCGUGCGCAGGCGGUGAUGUAAGACCGAUGUGAAAUCCCCGGGCUCAACCUGGGAACUGCAUUGGUGACUGCAUUGCUCGAGUAUGGCAGAGGGGGGUGGAAUUCCACGUGUAGCAGUGGAAUGCGUAGAGAUGUGGAGGAACACCGAUGGCGAAGGCAGCCCCCUGGGCCAAUACUGACGCUCAUGCACGAAAGCGUGGGGAGCAAACAGGAUUAGAUACCCUGGUAGUCCACGCCCUAAACGACGUCAACUGGUUGUCGGGCCUUCAUUGGCUUGGUAACGUAGCUAACGCGUGAAGUUGACCGCCUGGGGAGUACGGUCGCAAGAUUAAAACUCAAAUGAAUUGACGGGGUCAUAGCUGUUUCCU
rnacentral:rRNA from 1 species